rfam:Xenopus laevis strain J chromosome 1S, whole genome shotgun sequence.
CUGCAAACAAGAUCACUAGCCCAGCAUGUUGUUGCUGAAGCAAGGGGAACAUGUUUGCUACAGUGACUAGUGGAUGUAGAAGCGCUUGGUCUAUAAAAUGGCAUUA